rnacentral:rRNA from 1 species
AUGGCAGGGCAGGGCAGCUACAGCCGGCUCGCCGCCGACGAGGCCGCCGCCGUCAUAUCCGGCGGCGGCGGCGACGACUACGACUCAAAAAAGCUUCGGCUGCUCGGCUACGAGCCGCAGCUCAAGCGCAAUCUCUCGCUGCUGUCCAACUUCUCGGUGACCUUCUCGAUCGUGUCGGUGCUGACGGGCAUCACGACGCUGUACGGGACGGGGCUCCAGUUCGGGGGGCCGGUGACGAUGGUGUACGGCUGGCCCAUUGCCGGCGCCUUCACCACCGUCGUCGGCCUGGCCAUGGCCGAGAUCUGCUCCGCCUACCCGACCUCCGGCGGCCUCUACUUCUGGAGCGCCAGGCUCUGCAGCGAGCGCCGCUGGGGCCCCUUCGCCUCCUGGCUCACCGGAUGGUUUAACAUCGUUGGACAGUGGGCAGUGACAACGAGCGUGGACUACUCGCUGGCGCAGCUGAUCCAGGUGAUCAUCCUGCUGAGCACCGGCGGGAACAACGGCGGAGGGUACCUGGCGUCCAAGUACGAGGUCAUCGCCAUCCACGCCGCCAUCCUGCUCAGCCACGCCCUCAUCAACAGCCUCCCCAUUGCAUGGCUCUCCUUCUUCGGCCAGUUCGCGGCGGCUUGGAACAUGCUAGGUGUCUUCGUCCUCAUGAUUGCCGUGCCGGCCGUUGCCACGGAGAGGGCCAGCGCCAAGUUCGUCUUCACCAAUUUCAACACCGACAACGGCGCUGGAAUACACAGCCAUGUCUACAUCUUCCUCCUGGGGCUCCUCAUGAGCCAGUACACGCUCUUAGGUUACGACGCGUCGGCGCAUAUGACGGAGGAGACCAAGAACGCAGACAAGAACGGGCCGAUCGGGAUCAUCAGCGCCAUCGGCAUAUCGAUAGUGGUCGGCUGGGGAUACAUACUCGGCGUCACCUUCGCCGUGAAGGACAUACCCUCCCUGCUGAGCCCCGACAAUGAAGCUGGAGGGUACGCCAUCGCCCAGGUCUUCUACCAGGCCUUCAAAAGCCGCUACGGCAGCGGCGUCGGCGGGAUCGUCUGCCUGGGGAUCGUCGCCGUCGCCAUUUACUUCUGCGGCAUGAGCUCCGUCACAAGUAACUCGAGGAUGGCGUAUGCUUUCUCGAGAGACGGCGCGAUGCCGCUGUCGUCCGUGUGGCACAAAGUGAACGAGCACGAGGUGCCCAUCAACGCCGUCUGGCUCUCGGCUUUCGUCUCCCUCUGCAUGGCGUUGCCGUCGCUGGGUAGCCUGGUGGCGUUCCAGGCCAUGGUGUCCAUCGCCACGAUCGGGCUCUACAUCGCGUACGCGCUGCCCAUCUUCUUCCGGGUGACGCUGGCGCGGAAGCACUUCGUGCCGGGACCCUUCAACCUGGGGCGCUACGGCGUGCUGGUGGGGUGGGUGGCCGUGCUCUGGGUGGUCACCAUCACCGUGCUCUUCUCGCUGCCGGUGAUGUACCCGGUGACCAGGGACACGCUCAACUACACGCCCGUCGCCGUCGGCGGGCUCUUCAUCCUCGUCCUGACGUCGUGGGUCGUCAGUGCCAGGCACUGGUUCAAGGGACCCGUCACCAAUUUGAGCGGCUAG